rnacentral:rRNA from 1 species
GGUAAUACGUAUGUCCCGAGCGUUAUCCGGAUUUAUUGGGCGUAAAGCGAGCGCAGACGGUUUAUUAAGUCUGAUGUGAAAGCCCGGAGCUCAACUCCGGAAUGGCAUUGGAAACUGGUUAACUUGAGUGCAGUAGAGGUAAGUGGAACUCCAUGUGUAGCGGUGGAAUGCGUAGAUAUAUGGAAGAACACCAGUGGCGAAGGCGGCUUACUGGACUGCAACUGACGUUGAGGCUCGAAAGUGUGGGUAGCAAACAGGAUUAGAUACCCUGGUAGUCCACACCGUAAACGAUGAACACUAGGUGUUAAGGAGGUUUCCGCCUCUUAGUGCCGAAGCUAACGCAUUUAAGUGUUCCGCCCUGGGGGAGUAC